rnacentral:rRNA from 1 species
GAAAAAGAGGAGUGGCGAACGGGUGAGUAACACGUGGGUAACCUGCCCAUCAGAAGGGGAUAACACUUGGAAACAGGUGCUAAUACCGUAUAACAAUCAAAACCGCAUGGUUUUGAUUUGAAAGGCGCUUUCGGGUGUCGCUGAUGGAUGGACCCGCGGUGCAUUAGCUAGUUGGUGAGGUAACGGCUCACCAAGGCCACGAUGCAUAGCCGACCUGAGAGGGUGAUCGGCCACAUUGGGACUGAGACACGGCCCAAACUCCUACGGGAGGCAGCAGUAGGGAAUCUUCGGCAAUGGACGAAAGUCUGACCGAGCAACGCCGCGUGAGUGAAGAAGGUUUUCGGAUCGUAAAACUCUGUUGUUAGAGAAGAACAAGGAUGAGAGUAACUGUUCAUCCCUUGACGGUAUCUAACCAGAAAGCCACGGCUAACUACGUGCCAGCAGCCGCGGUAAUACGUAGGUGGCAAGCGUUGUCCGGAUUUAUUGGGCGUAAAGCGAGCGCAGGCGGUUUCUUAAGUCUGAUGUGAAAGCCCCCGGCUCAACCGGGGAGGGUCAUUGGAAACUGGGAGACUUGAGUGCAGAAGAGGAGAGUGGAAUUCCAUGUGUAGCGGUGAAAUGCGUAGAUAUAUGG